GAUGAACGCUGGCGGUAUGCUUAACACAUGCAAGUCGAACGGACUCUUCGGAGUUAGUGGCGGACGGGUGAGUAACGCGUGAGAAUCUGGCUUUGGGUUCGGGACAACCACUGGAAACGGUGGCUAAUACCGGAUGUGCCGAGAGGUAAAAGAGAAAUUGCCUGAAGAUGAGCUCGGGUCUGAUUAGCUAGUUGGUGAGGUAAAGGCUCACCAAGGCAGCGAUCAGUAGCUGGUCUGAGAGGAUGACCAGCCACACGGGGACUGAGACACGGCCCAGACUCCUACGGGAGGCAGCAGUGGGGAAUUUUCCGAAAUGGGCGAAAGCCUGACGGAGCAAUACCGCGUGAGGGAAGAAGGCUCUUGGGUUGUAAACCUCUUUUCUUAGGGAAGAACAAAAUGACGGUACCUAAGGAAGCAGCAUCGGCUAACUCCGUG
rnacentral:rRNA from 1 species